rnacentral:tRNA from 1 species
AAAACUUUGCAAAACCGUAGGUCCUAGCCGGGUUCGAACCGGCGAUCUUCUGCGUGUAAAGCAGACGUGAUAACCACUACACCAUAGGACCG